AUGCCUGUACCAUAACCGACACAGGUGGGUAGGUAGAGUAUACUAAGGGGCGCGAGAUAACUCUCUCUAAGGAACUCGGCAAAAUGACUCCGUAACUUCGGGAGAAGGAGUGCCUUAUUUAUAAGGUUGCAAUAACAAGAUCCAAGCAACUGUUUAUCAAAAACACAGGUCUCCGCUAAGUCGUAAGACGAUGUAUGGGGGCUGACGCCUGCCCAGUGCCAGAAGGUUAAAGAAGUUGGUUAGUGUAUGCGAAGCUGAUGACUGAAGCCCUGGUGAACGGCGGCCGUAACGAUAACGGUCCUAAGGUAGCGAAAUUCCUUGUCGGGUAAGUUCCGACCCGCACGAAAGGCGUAAUGAUUUGGAUACUGUCUCGGAGAGAGGCUCGGUGAAAUAGACUUGUCUGUGAAGAUGCGGACUACCUGCACCAGGACAGAAAGACCCUAUGAAGCUUUACUGUAACUUGAAAUUGGAAUUGGACUUUGCUUGCGCAGUAUAGGUGGGAAGCGUUGAAGAUAUUCUUGCGGGAGUAUUGGAGCUAUCAGUGAGAUACCACUCUUGUAAUGUUAGAUUUCUAACUUUGAACCAUAAUCUGGUCAAAGAACAGUUUCAGGUGGGCAGUUUGACUGGGGCGGUCGCCUCCCAAAUGGUAACGGAGGCGUACAAAGGUUUCCUCUGAACGGAUAGAAAUCGUAUCUAGAGUGUAAAGGCAUAAGGAAGCUUGACUGUGAGACCUACAAGUCGAGCAGGGACGAAAGUCGGUCUUAGUGAUCUGACGGUACUGAGUGGAAAGGCCGUCACUCAACGGAUAAAAGUUACUCUAAGGAUAACAGGCUGAUCUCCCCCAAGAGUUCACAUCGACGGGGAGGUUUGGCACCUCGAUGUCGGCUCAUCGCAUCCUGGGGCGGUAGUACGUCCCAAGGGUUGGGCUGUUCGCCCAUGAAAGCGGUACGCGAGCUGGGUUCAGAACGUCGUGAGACAGUUCGGUCCAUAUCCGGUGUAGGCGUUAGAAUAUUGAGAGGAGCCUUCUUUAGUACGAGAGGACCGAGAAGGACACACCGCUGGUGUACCAGUUAUCGUGCCAACGGUAAACGCUGGGUAGCUAUGUGUGGAGUGGAUAACCGCUGAAAGCAUCUAAGUGGGAAGCCCACCUCAAGAUGAGUAUUCCCACCAUAUUGGUUAAGGUCACGGGAAGAACACCCGUUGAUAGGCAUCAGGUGGAAGUGCAGUAAUGUAUGAAGCCGAAGUGUACUAACAGACCGAGGGCUUGACC
rnacentral:rRNA from 1 species